UUUGGUUCAUGAUCGGAAUCGAAUGAGAUUUAAAUGCUAAGAAAGACUAUGGAUUAAAUUUUGAGGGAUUGGAUCAUGUUGAAACAUUGAGAGUAAGAAAAAAAUGUUCAUUUAGAUUUUCUAAGAAAACUAACCAAAAUUUAUUUUACCCUUACAUUAUUCUAUUAGGAUCAAGGGGAGGUAAAGUGGACAAGAGAAAUAUUGUACAACUAUCGCAACAAGAAAUCACGGC
rnacentral:lncRNA from 1 species